AUUGAACGCUGGCGGCAGGCUUAACACAUGCAAGUCGAGCGGUGCGAGGGUGCUUGCACCUUAGCUUAGCGGCGGACGGGUGAGUAAUGCUUAGGAAUCUGCCUAUUAGUGGGGGACAACAUUCCGAAAGGGAUGCUAAUACCGCAUACGCCCUACGGGGGAAAGCAGGGGAUCUUCGGACCUUGCGCUAAUAGAUGAGCCUAAGUCGGAUUAGCUAGUUGGUGGGGUAAAGGCCUACCAAGGCGACGAUCUGUAGCGGGUCUGAGAGGAUGGUCCGCCACACUGGGACUGAGACACGGCCCAGACUCCUACGGGAGGCAGCAGUGGGGAAUACUGGACAAUGGGCGGAAGCCUGAUCCAGCCAUGCCGCGUGUGUGAAGAAGGCCUUUUGGUUGUAAAGCACUUUAAGCGAGGAGGCUACUAGUAUUAAUACUACUGGAUAGUGGACGUUACUCGCAGAAUAAGCACCGGCUAACUCUGUGCCAGCCGCCGCCGUAA
rnacentral:rRNA from 1 species